GCCUGUGGCACUAUGGUGAUUGGGCAGUGGGGAUUCCCUAUCCAGAUAAGGAGGAGGAGCCUGUGAUGGUUAAGUCAUCAGAUAAUGAAGUUACUUGAAAAGAAUGGAAAGAACACCUGGUGAAAUCAAGAUCUCUGCUUUGACUUGUAUCUUCUGCAUCCUGGGGCCAAAAGCAAGGAUCACCAUGGCCGUACCAGUCUGACAGCAGCCUUAAGACAUGGAGAGAUGAAUAACAAAGAUUAAGAGCCAUCCUGGUUUGAUAAGGGUAUUGAUCCUAAAUCAACAUCUCGGUUUUAGGAAGAGCAUGCCCACAUGUGACUUUCCUGUUUGACAGGCUUGGAGGCUUCCAGUGGGACGUGGCAGCAUCCCUGUUACCGGGCAACUGCUUUCUUAGAUGGGAGACAGGGAGCAAGGCAAGUGCUUGGAGAGCUCACCAGUGAGAAGUGCUGCAGGCACGGAGCGGGCAUGAUCCCAGGUAGUCUGGGCCACCCUUUCUAUGAUUACGGUUCCAGAAACAGCACAAAACCACUAUUAUGACAACGUCUGCAUUCAGACGUAGUACUGCCACUGAAGAAACUAAGGCUGUGGCUGCAAAAUUCAUUACAAACUGAAGGUUCAAACUGGAGUUUGGCAAGGCAAACUGCAGGUUGCUUUUGCAACAAAACCGCAGUUGCUUGCAUUUGGAUGUUCACAAAUUCCAACCUCUGCCCCAUUUAACAGCGGUUUCAUAUUACAUGCGAAUGCAGCCUAAGAUAUUUUUAAUAUGCUGUACCCCACUCUGAGCCUAUUAGAAAGAGCAGUAUAUAAAUCUGACAA